GAUUAAGUUAUUAAGGGCGCACGGUGGAUGCCUUGGCACUAGAAGCCGAUGAAGGACGUUACUAACGACGAUAUGCUUUGGGGAGCUGUAAGUAAGCUUUGAUCCAGAGAUUUCCGAAUGGGGAAACCCAGCAUGAGUUAUGUCAUGUUAUCGAUAUGUGAAUACAUAGCAUAUCAGAAGGCACACCCGGAGAACUGAAACAUCUUAGUACCCGGAGGAAGAGAAAGAAAAUUCGAUUCCCUUAGUAGCGGCGAGCGAAACGGGAAGAGCCCAAACCAACAAGCUUGCUUGUUGGGGUUGUAGGACACUCUAUACGGAGUUACAAAGGACGACAUUAGACGAAUCAUCUGGAAAGAUGAAUCAAAGAAGGUAAUAAUCCUGUAGUCGAAAAUGUUGUCUCUCUUGAGUGGAUCCUGAGUACGACGGAGCACGUGAAAUUCCGUCGGAAUCUGGGAGGACCAUCUCCUAAGGCUAAAUACUCUCUAGUGACCGAUAGUGAACCAGUACCGUGAGGGAAAGGUGAAAAGCACCCCGGAAGGGGAGUGAAAUAGAACCUGAAACCGUGUGCUUACAAGUAGUCAGAGCCCGUUAAUGGGUGAUGGCGUGCCUUUUGUAGAAUGAACCGGCGAGUUACGAUUUGAUGCAAGGUUAAGCAGUAAAUGUGGAGCCGUAGCGAAAGCGAGUCUGAAUAGGGCGUUUAGUAUUUGGUCGUAGACCCGAAACCAGGUGAUCUACCCUUGGUCAGGUUGAAGUUCAGGUAACACUGAAUGGAGGACCGAACCGACUUACGUUGAAAAGUGAGCGGAUGAACUGAGGGUAGCGGAGAAAUUCCAAUCGAACCUGGAGAUAGCUGGUUCUCUCCGAAAUAGCUUUAGGGCUAGCCUCAAGUGAUGAUUAUUGGAGGUAGAGCACUGUUUGGACGAGGGGCCCCUCUCGGGUUACCGAAUUCAGACAAACUCCGAAUGCCAAUUAAUUUAACUUGGGAGUCAGAACAUGGGUGAUAAGGUCCGUGUUCGAAAGGGAAACAGCCCAGACCACCAGCUAAGGUCCCAAAAUAUAUGUUAAGUGGAAAAGGAUGUGGCGUUGCCCAGACAACUAGGAUGUUGGCUUAGAAGCAGCCAUCAUUUAAAGAGUGCGUAAUAGCUCACUAGUCGAGUGACACUGCGCCGAAAAUGUACCGGGGCUAAACAUAUUACCGAAGCUGUGGAUUGUCCUUUGGACAAUGGUAGGAGAGCGUUCUAAGGGCGUUGAAGCAUGAUCGUAAGGACAUGUGGAGCGCUUAGAAGUGAGAAUGCCGGUGUGAGUAGCGAAAGACGGGUGAGAAUCCCGUCCACCGAUUGACUAAGGUUUCCAGAGGAAGGCUCGUCCGCUCUGGGUUAGUCGGGUCCUAAGCUGAGGCCGACAGGCGUAGGCGAUGGAUAACAGGUUGAUAUUCCUGUACCACCUAUAAUCGUUUUAAUCGAUGGGGGGACGCAGUAGGAUAGGCGAAGCGUGCGAUUGGAUUGCACGUCUAAGCAGUAAGGCUGAGUAUUAGGCAAAUCCGGUACUCGUUAAGGCUGAGCUGUGAUGGGGAGAAGACAUUGUGUCUUCGAGUCGUUGAUUUCACACUGCCGAGAAAAGCCUCUAGAUAGAAAAUAGGUGCCCGUACCGCAAACCGACACAGGUAGUCAAGAUGAGAAUUCUAAGGUGAGCGAGCGAACUCUCGUUAAGGAACUCGGCAAAAUGACCCCGUAACUUCGGGAGAAGGGGUGCUCUUUAGGGUUAACGCCCAGAAGAGCCGCAGUGAAUAGGCCCAAGCGACUGUUUAUCAAAAACACAGGUCUCUGCUAAACCGUAAGGUGAUGUAUAGGGGCUGACGCCUGCCCGGUGCUGGAAGGUUAAGAGGAGUGGUUAGCUUCUGCGAAGCUACGAAUCGAAGCCCCAGUAAACGGCGGCCGUAACUAUAACGGUCCUAAGGUAGCGAAAUUCCUUGUCGGGUAAGUUCCGACCCGCACGAAAGGCGUAACGAUUUGGGCACUGUCUCAACGAGAGACUCGGUGAAAUCAUAGUACCUGUGAAGAUGCAGGUUACCCGCGACAGGACGGAAAGACCCCGUGGAGCUUUACUGUAGCCUGAUAUUGAAAUUCGGCACAGCUUGUACAGGAUAGGUAGGAGCCUUUGAAACGUGAGCGCUAGCUUACGUGGAGGCGCUGGUGGGAUACUACCCUAGCUGUGUUGGCUUUCUAACCCGCACCACUUAUCGUGGUGGGAGACAGUGUCAGGCGGGCAGUUUGACUGGGGCGGUCGCCUCCUAAAAGGUAACGGAGGCGCUCAAAGGUUCCCUCAGAAUGGUUGGAAAUCAUUCAUAGAGUGUAAAGGCAUAAGGGAGCUUGACUGCGAGACCUACAAGUCGAGCAGGGUCGAAAGACGGACUUAGUGAUCCGGUGGUUCCGUAUGGAAGGGCCAUCGCUCAACGGAUAAAAGCUACCCCGGGGAUAACAGGCUUAUCUCCCCCAAGAGUUCACAUCGACGGGGAGGUUUGGCACCUCGAUGUCGGCUCAUCGCAUCCUGGGGCUGUAGUCGGUCCCAAGGGUUGGGCUGUUCGCCCAUUAAAGCGGUACGCGAGCUGGGUUCAGAACGUCGUGAGACAGUUCGGUCCCUAUCCGUCGUGGGCGUAGGAAAUUUGAGAGGAGCUGUCCUUAGUACGAGAGGACCGGGAUGGACAUACCUCUGGUGUACCAGUUGUCGUGCCAACGGCAUAGCUGGGUAGCUAUGUGUGGACGGGAUAAGUGCUGAAAGCAUCUAAGCAUGAAGCCCCCCUCAAGAUGAGAUUUCCCAACUUCGGUUAUAAGAUCCCUCAAAGAUGAUGAGGUUAAUAGGUUCGAGGUGGAAGCAUGGUGACAUGUGGAGCUGACGAAUACUAAUCGAUCGAAGACUUAAUCAA
rnacentral:rRNA from 1 species